rnacentral:rRNA from 1 species
AGAGUUUGAUCCUGGCUUAGGAUGAACGCUAGCUACAGGCUUAACACAUGCAAGUCGAGGGGCAGCAUGGGAGUUGCUUGCAAUUCCUGAUGGCGACCGGCGCACGGGUGAGUAACGCGUAUCCAACCUUCCCUUAGUAGGGCAUAGCCCGGUGAAAAUCGGAUUAAUACCCUAUGUUCUUCACAGCAGACAUCUAACGUGAAGCAAAGGUUUACCGCUAAGGGAUGGGGAUGCGUCUGAUUAGGUAGUAGGCGGGGUAACGGCCCACCUAGCCUUCGAUCAGUAGGGGUUCUGAGAGGAAGGUCCCCCACAUUGGAACUGAGACACGGUCCAAACUCCUACGGGAGGCAGCAGUGAGGAAUAUUGGUCAAUGGGCGAGAGCCUGAACCAGCCAAGUAGCGUGCAAGGAUGACGGCCCUAUGGGUUGUAAACUGCUUUUAUAUGGGGAUAAAGUUCACCACGUGUGGUGUUUUGCAGGUACCAUAUGAAUAAGGACCGGCUAAUUCCGUGCCAGCAGCUGC